UCCACAUUUCACAUAAUAUAAACACUGCCGUGGAUAGUGUUACUUCUAAACAUCUUUUUUUUUACGAGCAUACAUCUUUUUUUACGAGCAGCAAACACGGAACAACCUUGUACACAAGGAUAAAAUCACACAUUAAAUCAAAGCUAGGCUUAAAAUGAUGUAAUUGAGUUUGGAUUCGGGGGCAUCCCCUUUCCAAACACAUAGUUCCUUCCUCAGAAGCGCUGGUUUGUUAAACGCUCGAAAGUCGUUGCUUCGGUGAGGGGCGUAUACAAAGUAUUCUCAAAACAACACUUUGUGGCAACCACAUAAGCCUACUCAGAGUCAGACUGCUCCUAUUCUGGAAUAUCGUUGCUGCACCAUCAUCGUCAUAUCCCAUCAACUCUGGUGAUGGCUGACAACGAAAAUCUAGCGGAUGGAACACGCCUGAAAGUGACGUACUACAAGACCGCUCCGAGUCGAAAUGGUAGAGACGGAGAAACCCGUUUUACUCGUGUACCUACUCAUGGCACUGCGCAUCCCCGUUAUGAGGAUGUGUGUUCUGUCAUACAUAAGAUUUUCAAACUAGAUCAGACCGAACCUCUUCAACUGUAUUGGAAAGACCCGGGUGAGGGCAGUGUCUACAAUAUCAACUCGGAUGAUGAGCUUACUGAAGCCAUUCCCCGAAUGGAGAGAGAUGGUCAAUCUUUGGCCAUGUAUGCACAGCCUAUAAGGCGCACGUACGGUGCAAUGAUCGGGGAACACUUCUGGAAAGCUACAACUGUUAUAACAGCGAUUGGAUUCAUAAUUGCAGCAACAAUUGCGUGCUUUAAAAAAAUAAAAUAAAACGAAGAUGAUCUGAAUGGGAAACUUUAAGGCGCUAGGUGGCAGCAGACUUACUUGGUAAAUUUCCAUUGUUUAAAGUCACCUGGAAGUGGUAUUUUUUUUAA